rnacentral:rRNA from 1 species
GUGAACCUUUACUAUAGCUUGACACUGAACAUUGAGCCUUGAUGUGUAGGAUAGGUGGGAGGCUUUGAAGUGUGGACGCCAGUCUGCAUGGAGCCGACCUUGAAAUACCACCCUUUAAUGUUUGAUGUUCUAACGUGGACCCGUAAUCCGGGUUGCGGACAGUGUCUGGUGGGUAGUUUGACUGGGGCGGUCUCCUCCUAAAGAGUAACGGAGGAGCACGAAGGUUGGCUAAUCCUGGUCGGACAUCAGGAGGUUAGUGCAAUGGCAUAAGCCAGCUUGACUGCGAGCGUGACGGCGCGAGCAGGUGCGAAAGCAGGUCAUAGUGAUCCGGUGGUUCUGAAUGGAAGGGCCAUCGCUCAACGGAUAAAAGGUACUCCGGGGAUAACAGGCUGAUACCGCCCAAGAGUUCAUAUCGACGGCGGUGUUUGGCACCUCGAUGUCGGCUCAUCACAUCCUGGGGCUGAAGUAGGUCCCAAGGGUAUGGCUGUUCGCCAUUUAAAGUGGUACGCGAGCUGGGUUUAGAACGUCGUGAGACAGUUCGGUCCCUAUCUGCCGUGGGCGCUGGAGAACUGAGGGGGGCUGCUCCUAGUACGAGAGGACCGGAGUGGACGCAUCACUGGUGUUCGGGUUGUCAUGCCAAUGGCACUGCCCGGUAGCUAAAUGCGGAAGAGAUAAGUGCUGAAAGCAUCUAAGCACGAAACUUGCCCCGAGAUGAGUUCUCCCUGAGACUUAGAGUCUCCUGAAGGAACGUUGAAGACGACGACGUUGAUAGGCCGGGUGUGUAAGCGCAGCGAUGCGUUGAGCUAACCGGUACUAAUGAACCGUGAGGCUUAACCUUAC